rnacentral:rRNA from 1 species
CCUACGGGAGGCAGCAGUGGGGAAUUUUGGACAAUGGGCGCAAGCCUGAUCCAGCUAUUCCGCGUGUGGGAAGACGGCCUUCAGGUUGUAAACCACUUUUGUAGAGGACGAAAAGUCUAUUGAUCAUACCGAUAGAUGAUGACGGUACUCUAAGAAUGAGCACCGGCUAACUACGUGCCAGCAGCCGCGGUAAUACGUAGGGUGCGAGCGUUAAUCGGAAUUACUGGGCGUAAAGGGUGUGCAGGCGGUUUUGCAAGAUGGAUGUGAAAGCCCCGGGCUUAACCUGGGAAAGCCAUACAUGACUGCAAGACUAGAGUGCGUCAGAGGGGGGUGGAAUUCCAAGUGUAGCAGUGAAAUGCGUAGAUAUUGGGAAGAACACCGAUGGCGAAGGCAGCCCCCUGGGACGCAACUGACGCUCAUACACGAAAGCGUGGGGAGCAAACAGGAUUAGAUACCCUAGUAGUC